rnacentral:snRNA from 1 species
AUACUUACCUGGUACGGGAGGUUACCAUGAUCCGCAAGGUGGUCCUCCCAGGGCGAGGCCUUUCCAUUGCACUCCGGUUGGGCUGACCCCUGCGAUCGCCCCAAAUGUGGGCGACUCGAGUACACAAUUUUUUAGUGUGGGGGUCUGCGUUCGCGCUAACCCCUG